UACGUAGGGUGCGAGCGUUGUCCGGAAUUACUGGGCGUAAAGAGCUCGUAGGUGGUUUGUCGCGUUGUUCGUGAAAACCGGGGGCUUAACUCUCGGCGUGCGGGCGAUACGGGCAGACUGGAGUACUGCAGGGGAGACUGGAAUUCCUGGUGUAGCGGUGGAAUGCGCAGAUAUCAGGAGGAACACCGGUGGCGAAGGCGGGUUGCUGGGCUGACACUGACGCUGAUGCGCGAAAGCCAGGGGAGCGAACGGG
rnacentral:rRNA from 1 species